CUGCAAGUAAGGAUAAUUAGCACGCUCCCAACUACUUACUUAUAGUCAAAGCUGUUAUGAUAUAUUUCCAGGGGUAAUUGUAUCAGUCGUUGGACGAGAUGGUCAACGUCAUGCCCAAGAUGACUCUGCGGCUCUUCUGACUGGUGAUGAUGGUGAUCAAGAACAAGCUCAAGGAAGUGAACAACCAACUGCGCAGACAACGUGGAAAGAGAUGCCGGAUUUGCCACCGCCCUAUGCACCUUGACUUUCUUUAACUUUUCAGUAUCGUAAAACGUCGCACAUAGAGAGUUCCUGUUUACAACUAAAUUUUGCUGAUUUUGUUUACCCGUAAUUUCUACCCGUUUCCCGGCGGUAAACCAUGGUCUACACAUAAAAGACAAACGGGUACGGGUGUUUUCUGUUCACUAUUUGUAGAGCAUCUAAGUAGUAAAUACUUCAAAAUAUUACCCGAAUAAAUCAAUGCACAUUUCCUCGUCAAAUUUUUCCCAAAUCUAUGGUGAACCACGACAAAAGUUACUAUUCUCUAAUCGGUUUUCGUAGCCCCGAAUAUCUUUGUAUUUCUUAAGUUGCAAGCCGUUCCUUCCUACGGGUACGGACAUAUCACCCGCGUACAUCCGUAAACCGGAACCUGGGUAUCUUAAAGCUACGUUUACACCUGUUCGGGUUAGCUUUCCGUAGCGACGUGAAAAAACACCUAUCCGUACCUUUUAGGAACGCUAUUUUCAGAGGAAUUAUUGCAACGGAGAGAUGUUGUUUCGCUCAGCUUCUGAAAGUUGUACAUUCCGUAUCAGAUAGGUGCUUUUUCGCGCCGAUACGAAAAGCUAUCCGGUACAACUAUAAACGUAGUUUUAACUUCAUUGCUAGUGAAUUAAGGAACGACCAACCUGAAAUUUAAGGCCCGGAUAAAACUAGAAUAUAUAUAUACCAAAAUGGAAUAACAAAAGAAUAACAAAAUGAUUGUCGCGGUCCGCAUAAAACGCUUUAUUGUCUUCGUCAUUCAAAUCACUAGUGCAGUUUGCGUAAUUUGUAUAUAAUAUUGUAGUCUGAAGACGAUUUAGUAAAGACGAUUUAGAUCGAAAAAUUACUAUUUUAAAUGUCAUCAUUCUAAAGCACUCAAUUUUCGGAUUAGCAUUCAUUCCGUGUUUAUAAUAUAUGCA